AGAAGAGCGGCGUAGAAAAAAUUAACUCAGUAGAUCCGUAAUUUGCACACAGUAGCCGUCCGGCGGGCGUCGCGAGCGAUCACAAGUUGUGAUUCACAACCGGCACAACUAGAGGAAAAAAACGUGACUCAUUAUUGUCGUUUUCUUCCGAGUGGGGCCCGAUUGCGAUGACCCUUUCCUCUGUACGUAAUUUUUAAAUCAGACGGUAUUGUAGUUGUAGUAAUUCGAUUGCAACAGACGGAUCAAUUUCCGCGUAGAUUGAUUUGAAUUUGGUGCACCCUGAGGUCGUAACCGCGGCGGGUUCACAACUUAUGGACAUUGUUCGGCAAUUAUCGGAAGCAACUGUUCAAUUGAAAUGAGACGCUGCUGGAUUGUGGAUCUUUUUGUGCUGAUUUCUGUCUGCUUACUGAGUAACUUCGUGCUGAUGAAUGAACGCGAUCGAAUCGUUCGGGCGGAGAGGGUUAUGGAAGAUGAUUACAGUCGGCAUCAACUGUUGUGGAAUUAUUUUAUGACCCGUGAGAAGGCGAAUAGUUGAGAUCUGCAUCGACGGUGAUGGCUGGCUGCCUUUAAACAUGUGGAGUCGGAUAAUUCACACUUCAAAAAUGUUGAUUACCAAAUUGAUUAACUUUAAAUUAAACCGAGAAAGCCUUGCUGCAAGAAGCCUGUUCACAUCUUCCGUGGGCCAGUGGUGGAAUAUCAUAUUGGAGGCAAGCAUGUUAUUUUCUAGUCAAAAUGAUAAGUUUCAUUGACUCGUCAUUUUUCUCGCCGAGAACUCACUGAUAAAAUUAUGGAAGCCAGAAACUCAUGUCAAACUCAAUCCUGUAAUUAGAGUCUCGUAUAAAAAAUGGUGUUGAACAUCCAAAGAAAGUAUGAAAAUAAACAGAUUAUAUUUUUCCAAAA